rnacentral:rRNA from 1 species
UACGUAGGGGGCAAGCGUUAUCCGGAUUUACUGGGUGCAAAGGGAGCGUAGACGGUAAAGCAAGUCUGAAGUGAAAUGCCAGUGCUCAACACUGGAACUGCUUUGGAAACUGUUUGGCUGGAGUGCAGGAGAGGUAAGUGGAAUUCCUAGUGUAGCGGUGAAAUGCGUAGAUAUUAGGAGGAACACCAGUGGCGAAGGCGGCUUACUGGACUGUAACUGACGUUGAGGCUCGAAAGCGUGGGGAGCAAACAGG